CAGUCGCCGCGGUAAUACGGAGGGUGCAAGCGUUAAUCGGAAUUACUGGGCGUAAAGCGCACGCAGGCGGUCUGACAAGUCAGAUGUGAAAUCCCCGGGCUUAACCUGGGAACUGCAUUUGAAACUGUCAGGCUGGAGUCUUGUAGAGGGGGGUGGAAUUCCAGGUGUAGCGGUGAAAUGCGUAGAGAUCUGGAGGAAUACCGGUGGCGAAGGCGGCCCCCUGGACAAAGACUGACGCUCAGGUGCGAAAGCGUGGGGAGCAAACAGGAUUAGAUACCCCUGUGUCCCUGUCUCUUAUACA
rnacentral:rRNA from 1 species